rnacentral:misc_RNA from 1 species
UUUCCGUAGGUGAACCUGCGGCAGGAUCAUUACUGAGUGAGGGCCCCUCGGGGUCCAACCUCCCACCCGUGUUUAACGAACCUUGUUGCUUCGGCGGGCCCGCCUCACGGCCGCCGGGGGGCAUCUGCCCCCGGGCCCGCGCCCGCCGAAGCCACCUGUGAACGCUGUCUGAAGUAUGCAGUCUGAGACAAUUAUUAAAUUAAUUAAAACUUUCAACAACGGAUCUCUUGGUUCCG